GGACUACUGGGGUAUCUAAUCCUGUUUGCUCCCCACGCUUUCGCGUCUCAGCGUCAGUGACUGUCCAGAAGGCCGCCUUCGCCACCGGUGUUCCUCUCGAUAUCUACGAAUUUCACCUCUACACCGAGAAUUCCGCCUUCCUCUCCAGCACUCCAGCUCGGAAGUUUCGAGUGCACUUCCUAGGUUGAGCCCAGGGCUUUCACACCCGACUUUCCGAGCUGCCUACACGCGCUUUACGCCCAGUAAUUCCGAACAACGUUUGCACCCUCUGUCUUACCGCGGCUGCUGGCAC
rnacentral:rRNA from 1 species